CAAGGUGUGUGCAUCUGUAUUUGUAUGUGCCAGUGUGUGUAUCUGUGUGUCAGUGUGUAUGAAUCUGACACACAGAUACACACACUGGCACACACACGCACACUGGAA